UGUUAUCAAAUAUAUGAAUGCGAUUCUACAUUACAUUUAAGACUACUGUAGUUCUUUCUCUUUUUCAGCAUUGGUUACCAUUUUAAUAAUACCAAUUGUAAAAGGCUGAAAUAGAAAUAAAAAAGACACGACCAAUUUUAAGAAGACAUGUAUUUGCCCCUGGUAAAAUGACAAAUGGUAAUUAGGAAUAUGGCAGUCCUGAUGUAGUCACCUGAACCCAACAAGAUUAUUCCUUUGCUGUCACAGAAAAAAAAGACCCCCAUCACUCGUCGAAAUAAAAGAACAGAACUGUGUUACUGAAGUUAAGGCACACUUUAUCUUUGCUAGAAACCAUUAAAAAUCAGAACAAAGAUAAAGACGUUUUAGUUACUGAAGACUGUGCAUUAGAAUCAUAAGUUUAAAUGAUAAGACAAUACAGUUCAUGACCAUGCUAAGGGUAUUAAUAAGUAGAAUGCUGAGGUAAAGUACGUGUACACACGAAUAUAAGAUAUAGUAAAAGUACUGGGAAAUCGGCAGGAGUGCUACAGAGGAU
rnacentral:lncRNA from 1 species